UCUUGUUGAUAAUGUCACUGUGACCUCACAAAGGAUACCACACAUCAACAUGAACACCUGAGGGAUGUUAUAUAUAACACAGUCAAUAAAAAUGUCUCAAAAUCAAAGUUGCUCAUUCAGCCAGACAAGUUUGGAGCUGCCCUUCCAUAAAUAAGGCCUGGAAAGCAUUCAAGUACUAGUCUACAAACAAGCCCGGGCACUGUGCAUGAGAUGCUAUGUACCAAGGUGACACAGCAGGUAGAGAAGAAGACUCAAAGAAAAUGUUCCAAGUUUGGAAAAAGUGUGGCAAGAAAUGGAAAAAAACUCCUGUGUAAACACAAGUUAAAAAAAAAAAACUGCCUCAUGGAUAAAGAUGAACAACAUGAAUUUGUAUGUACCCAUAAUCUGCAUGAUUUUUUUUUUAUUUUCCCAGAAGCCUUCACAAACCCAGGAGUGGAAAAAGAAGAUUGAUACCAAGUUGCAGGUUUCAUGAAGUUUCUGUCCUAACACCAAAUAGCUAUGUGUCUUUGAGUGAGGCACUUAAUUUCUCUGGACCACCAUUUGCUCCUUGAUAUGACAGAACUCAUCGUUGACAAAUAAAAUAAUGUAUAAUAAUGAAAUAAUGCAAACUGCUCAGUACAGUGCCCAGAAAAUGGCAAUUGGUCCAUAGGUACUUAUAAUUUUUUAUCAUUAUUA